GUCCACACCGUAAACGUUGGGCGCUAGGUGUGGGGCCUAUUCCAUGGGUUCCGUGCCGCAGCUAACGCAUUAAGCGCCCCGCCUGGGGAGUACGGCCGCAAGGCUAAAACUCAAAGGAAUUGACGGGGGCCCGCACAAGCGGCGGAGCAUGCGGAUUAAUUCGAUGCAACGCGAAGAACCUUACCUGGGUUUGACAUAUACCCUGCCGCUUCAGAGAUGAGGCUUCUUUUGGGGGUAUACAGGUGGUGCAUGGCUGUCGU
rnacentral:rRNA from 1 species